rnacentral:rRNA from 1 species
GGGCUCUGACUGCUUAUUGCACCACAUGUGUUUUUCUUUGAAACAAACUUGCUUUGGCGGUGGGCCCAGCCUGCCGCCAGAGGUCUAAACUUACAACCAAUUUUUUAUCAACUUGUCACACCAGAUUAUUACUUAAUAGUCAAAACUUUCAACAACGGAUCUCUUGGUUCUCGCAUCGAUGAAGAACGCAGCGAAAUGCGAUACGUAAUAUGAAUUGCAGAUAUUCGUGAAUCAUCGAAUCUUUGAACGCACAUUGCGCCCUCUGGUAUUCCGGAGGGCAUGCCUGUUUGAGCGUCGUUUCUCCCUCAAACCGCUGGGUUUGGUGUUGAGCAAUACGACUUGGGUUUGCUUGAAAGACGGUAGUGGUAAGGCGGGAUCGCUUUGACAAUGGCUUAGGUCUAACCAAAAACAUUGCUUGCGGCGGUAACGUCUACCACGUAUAUCUUCAAACUUUGACCUCAAAUCAGGUAGGACUACCCGCUGAACUUAAGCAUAUCAAAAGCCGGAGGAA